CCUACGGGGGGCAGCAGUGGGGAAUAUUGGACAAUGGGGGCAACCCUGAUCCAGCCAUGCCGCGUGUGUGAAGAAGGCCCUCGGGUUGUAAAGCACUUUCAGUGAGGAAGAACGCCUGGUGGUUAAUACCCAUCAGGAAAGACAUCACUCACAGAAGAAGCAGCGGCUAACUCCGUGCCAGCAGCCGCGGUAAUACGGAGGGUGCGAGCGUUAAUCGGAAUUACUGGGCGUAAAGCGCGCGUAGGUGGCUUGAUAAGCCUGGUGUGAAAGCCCCGGGCUCAACCUGGGAACGGCAUCCGGAACUGUCAAGCUAGAGUGCAGGAGAGGAAGGUAGAAUUCCCGGUGUAGCGGUGAAAUGCGUAGAGAUCGGGAGGAAUACCAGUGGCGAAGGCGGCCUUCUGGACUGACACUGACACUGAGGUGCGAAAGCGUGGGUAGCAAACAGGAUUAGAUACCCUAGUAGUC
rnacentral:rRNA from 1 species